CGAGCUUGAAAGCUCACAGAACUGGCUCUCAUCGUCUCUGAAGAGUACCAGGAGUUUCGCAAAACUCAACACUCUACAGAACCUGAUCUACAGACAGCAGAGAACAUUCAACAAAGGAAUCUGUCACUGUUGCAAAUCAAACAUUUUGAGAUCAUCUGGAUCUGCAAAUUGUUGCCAACAACAGACCAAGGCAGAUUGACACCGAAGGAGAACCAACACUGACAAUCAGGAUGUGCCUGUUAUUGACCACACCUCUCUUCUUUGCUCUUGUUGUAAUAGUUUUGUUACUCUGGCAGAACAUCAUCACUGUGACUGACUUAAUGAAAGCAGGAAAGCAAGUUUCAGAUGUGGUAAUUCCAGCUUUGGACGAUCCAAAGAUAUCAGGAGCAUUAACACUAACCGUCACUGCACUGUUCAUUUUGACAAACUCACUGGAAACGACUCUGUUGGUUCUGGUUGAUAUUGCUCUGUGGUUGCAUUGGCUCAAUAUUCUCCCACUGAGAGAGUUAAUUAGGUUAGCUACAAAGUUUUAUCAGUCUGUUGUACCGGGAACAAAUCAGACCUGCACUGAUUCAAAGCCUGAAGCUCAACGAUUGGCUGAUGUUGUCAAAGGGAAAAGCACUCUAAUAACGUCGCAAACCAGCUGCACCCCGAUUUACAAACUUCAUCUAGAACAGAAACAGAUCAACAUUAAUGGCUGUAAGAGUUUCACUUUUGGAGAGAAAUCUAUGAAUUGUAACAGAAACAUCAUGGUUCUUGGAGCUGCAGGUGCUGGGAAGUCCACUGUCAUCAAUGCGAUGAUAAACUACGUCCUAGGCGUUAGAUGGGAAGAC